rnacentral:rRNA from 1 species
AACGAACGCUGGCGGCGUGCCUAACACAUGCAAGUCGAACGAGAAGUACGUAGCAAUACGUAUUGUAAAGUGGCGCACGGGUGAGUAACACGUGGGUAAUCUGCCCUCGAGUUUGGGAUAACCCCGCGAAAGCGGGGCUAAUACCGAAUAAGACCACGGGGACCAAAGUCCCUGAGGUAAAAGGUGGCCUCUAUUUAUAAGCUACCACUUGAGGAUGAGCCCGCGGCCCAUUAGCUAGUUGGCAGGGUAACGGCCUACCAAGGCGAUGAUGGGGAGCUGGUCUGAGAGGACGAGCAGCCACACUGGAACUGGAGCACGGUCCAGACUCCUACGGGAGGAAGCAGUGGGGAAUAUUGCGCAAUGGGCGAAAGCCUGACGCAGCAACGCCGCGUGGGGGAUGAAGGUUCUCGGAUUGUAAACCCCUUUCGAUCGGAACGAAUCCCCUUCUGGUAAAUAAUCAGGAGGAUCGACGGUACCGGGAGAAGAAGCCACGGCUAACUCUGUGCCAGCAGCCGCCGUAAGAC